rnacentral:tRNA from 1 species
GCGGGCGGAAGCUGGGAGGAAUCAACUCCGAUAGUAAAAUUUCGGGUUCGCAGGUUCGAAUCCUGUCGCCUGCA